CGACAGAAGUAAUACUCUCCCGUCCACCAGGUGGAACAGUUGUAGAUUCCUACGUUGUGAUUUUGUUAAUAUACAAUGAUGAUUUUAAAAUUAUAUUAAAUAUAAAAAAUAUAUAAGAUUCAAUGAUCGCGUACGAGUUACUACUCCGGCAGCUGUGUCCGUGAAUAAAAAAAGCACUAGGGACGCAGCAAAUGCUAUGUUGUGCAAACGAGAGCAGCGGCCGAGCAGACGAAAUAGGAGUCGCGAUAAACGAAUGUGGGUUGCCCCUCUGAGACCUUGGCGAUGGUAUAGAGGAGACAGAGUGAGAAGAAUCGAGGAAAGAGGCUACCUUAUCAGAGUCAGCCUGGAGGCUUAAACUUCGUCCGCGUGGCCGACGUCGAAACCACGAUGCGCGGCUCCAUAUAUGGAGGGGGCCAUGCUAGGGAGAGGGUGCUACAACGCUCGGGUAUAAAGUUCCACGACGCUAACGACGUCGCUUCACACCGCGCCAGAAAGCUCGAAUCCCUUGGCUUCGUCGUUCUGUUGACGAUCUGUUGCUGAUAAAUUAUCCGUACGAUGUCUCUUAAUCUCUCGUAUGCCCGCUCAAUUCGAAGAAUUUAAGCUCUGCCGAAAUUUUAACACGACAUUCUGAAUAUAGAAUGAAAAUAUAAAUCUCCAGUGAUUUGAAUAAUAUUAUUUUAUUGUUGUAUCUCUUUUUCAAACAAAAACAAAUUUUUUUAUUCAAUAUUAAAAGUUUCAUUAUAGAAAUAGAUUUAAUUUCAUUCAUUUACAAAUUAUUAAAUUCGCUAUGAUUUAUCUCUGUAUUUGCUGAACAUUAUUAAUCGUAAGAUGUGUCUACUAUUUUCCAAUAAAACUAUUAAAUUAAAUUCCCGAAAUUUAUAGAUUAAAUUGAUUUGAUGUUAAUAAUUUAAGCAGUGAAGUUAAACAAUGAUCUUAUAAGAAUAGAGAAUUAUAUUAAUAAUUUUUAUUAAAAUUGAAAUAGAUUAUUUUUUAUUUUGGAUAAAAUUAUCAUUGCUUUUUUUUCUAACGUUUGUGAUUUAUCUUAAAAUCUUUUUCUGUUUUAAAUGUAUUAUGUUGUUUUCGAAAAUGAAUGUAACAUAAUUCACUGAGAAUUUUGGCAUUCACUUGAAUUUAUGCAAUGUUAAAAAAAUUUCAGUAAAAUUUCAAAUAAUUUUAAAGUUUAGAAA